GUCUACACCCCUCACCAGGUGUUCCCUAUUGUCGUCUGUAUUUAACCUCUGUUCUCUGUUCUGUCUGUAGCCAGAUCGUCUUGUGCUUCACAGUCAUACCAGUUUGUUUCUCGUCAGUGUUCUCUGUUUGAUCGCUACCUGUUUUAUCUCCCGACCACGGACCUGCCUGCUCCCAGUGUACCUCUGCCAUUCGGCCCGAUACGACCGCCCACCGACCAACGAGCCUGCCUGCCCCAGCGUACCUCUGCAUUGAUACUUUGUUGCCGACCCUUGCUUGCCCUGGACUACAAGAUUGCGUUGUGAAUUAAACUCUUCUACCGCAAACUACCCCGCUUCCUGUCCGCAUUUGGGUCCACCAUCCUGCCUUGUGUCAAUACAGAGGCUACGAAACGUUCCAGGUCCGACAACAAGAGUUAUAGAGAAGCUCCUUCUGCCCCCCGUAGAGAGUCUGAAUAGGACACUGAGAUGCCCAGUUAAUACCAGCCCGGCGUGUUCCCACCCCAUCCUCAUGGUUGGUUUUGGACAGCACCCAUGGUUUUGGUCGCCUGAGUAACCUCUUCUCUCUAUUAGGGGUUUGGGGGGUUUUCUUCUGUAAAAAUCAUGACACCUGAUUUAGACGGACCCUGGCUCUGCCCAUGAUACAUUGGACCUGUGACUUGCAUGUGUGAGGACCUCUUGGGAAAUAUUGUGAUUUGAGAAAUCUGAGCCAUCCUCAUAAAUCAGAUGCUGUAUUCUCUAGUCUUUUAUCACCAAUGAAUGAAGAUCAUUCAAAUGCUAUUUAAUAAUAAAACUCUUUUGUGCUUUUUGAAAGUUUUUUGGUACCUACUUUCAACAACAUUUGAUACUAAUACAUAAAUUGGUAAAUGUUGAGGCAAUAUUUUGUAUCAACAAAACAUUUUAAUAAUGUAUUCUAACACGGUACUAUAACGGAUGUACAUGUCAUGUACUCAGGUUUGGAUCAUGGAUUUGACCAGAGGUGCUCAUUGUGGCUGGUUAAGAACAAGUGUGUGUAGACUGGUGCUGUGAAAAUGUUGAGGCAACGCUGUGACUAGGUGGCCACUAUUCAACACCUACUGUACUGGGGUCUUUUUUGGGCCCAUGACAUCAUGACAUCAUG